AGAGUUUGAUCCUGGCUCAGGAUGAACGCUGGCGGCGUGCCUAAUACAUGCAAGUCGAGCGAACGGACGAGAAGCUUGCUUCUCUGAUGUUAGCGGCGGACGGGUGAGUAACACGUGGAUAACCUACCUAUAAGACUGGGAUAACUUCGGGAAACCGGAGCUAAUACCGGAUAAUAUUUUGAACCGCAUGGUUCAAAAGUGAAAGACGGUCUUGCUGUCACUUAUAGAUGGAUCCGCGCUGCAUUAGCUAGUUGGUAAGGUAACGGCUUACCAAGGCAACGAUGCAUAGCCGACCUGAGAGGGUGAUCGGCCACACUGGAACUGAGACACGGUCCAGACUCCUACGGGAGGCAGCAGUAGGGAAUCUUCCGCAAUGGGCGAAAGCCUGACGGAGCAACGCCGCGUGAGUGAUGAAGGUCUUCGGAUCGUAAAACUCUGUUAUUAGGGAAGAACAUAUGUGUAAGUAACUGUGCACAUCUUGACGGUACCUAAUCAGAAAGCCACGGCUAACUACGUGCCAGCAGCCGCGGUAAUACGUAGGUGGCAAGCGUUAUCCGGAAUUAUUGGGCGUAAAGCGCGCGUAGGCGGUUUUUUAAGUCUGAUGUGAAAGCCCACGGCUCAACCGUGGAGGGUCAUUGGAAACUGGAAAACUUGAGUGCAGAAGAGGAAAGUGGAAUUCCAUGUGUAGCGGUGAAAUGCGCAGAGAUAUGGAGGAACACCAGUGGCGAAGGCGACUUUCUGGUCUGUAACUGACGCUGAUGUGCGAAAGCGUGGGGAUCAAACAGGAUUAGAUACCCUGGUAGUCCACGCCGUAAACGAUGAGUGCUAAGUGUUAGGGGGUUUCCGCCCCUUAGUGCUGCAGCUAACGCAUUAAGCACUCCGCCUGGGGAGUACGACCGCAAGGUUGAAACUCAAAGGAAUUGACGGGGACCCGCACAAGCGGUGGAGCAUGUGGUUUAAUUCGAAGCAACGCGAAGAACCUUACCAAAUCUUGACAUCCUUUGACAACUCUAGAGAUAGAGCCUUCCCCUUCGGGGGACAAAGUGACAGGUGGUGCAUGGUUGUCGUCAGCUCGUGUCGUGAGAUGUUGGGUUAAGUCCCGCAACGAGCGCAACCCUUAAGCUUAGUUGCCAUCAUUAAGUUGGGCACUCUAAGUUGACUGCCGGGGACUUGCUGUCGGUAGGUGCGGUUGACGUCAAAUCGGCACUC
rnacentral:rRNA from 1 species